ensembl:lncRNA
AAAGAAAGGAAAAGAAAGGAAAAGAAAGGAAAAGAAAGGAAAAGAAAGGAAAAGAAAGGAAAAGAAAAGAAAAGAAAAGAAAAGAAAAGAAAAGAAAAGAAAAGAAAAGAAAAGAAAAGAAAAGAAAAGAAAAGAAAAGAAAAGAAAAGAAAAGAAAAGAAAAGAAAAGAAAAGAAAAGAAAAGAAAAGAAAAGAAAAGAAAAGAAAAGAAAAGAAAAGAAAAAGAGCCAGAAAGUUCUGAUGUUUAAUGAACCUUUCAUUCAGUAUAUACAGCUUCUUAUGUAUGCUAAAUAUGUGGAAAAAUCCCAUGGAAUUCAGACCAAACAGUGUGUGGGCUAAAUGGCUGAGUAGGAAAGUAAGCAAAGAUUGUGGAAAAGGCUAAUUUGGUCAUCAAAUCCAGUUGCUCAUGGUUGUGGGCAAUCCUAUCACAUAAUUCAAGUAAUAAAGUAAUGUAUGACUCCUUACCAUUUUUAGGUGUGUGAAAACAAGAUUGUGGAGACUUCCAUUACAGAAGUGUGCCCUUGGCUACAGUAUUUUCCCAUGUUGGAAGCAGGUCUUAUCUCUUACUACCAAUCCUAUGUCUUGGACUUCACAUGUGAAUUAAAACCUGAAUAAUACUGACACAAGAACUUAACAUAUAGACCUUUGUCAAUCUUCAUCCUUGUUACUGUGAACAGCUGCUCAAUUGUUCUUCAAGGAGAUGGUGAUUCAUUGUGUCAGUGCGUAAUCAUCAGAAAGGUCAGUGAUGGCUUUGUAACGGCUUGACUGGGAAAAUAAUUGAACACAGGAUUUGACUUGAACAUCUGCAAAAAUUUGAACCAGAAGAACUUGAUCCAGAUUUGUGAAUAUUGCUCACAGGUGAUCACAUAUGGUGAAAAUCACCCAUGCUCAAGGGGAAGCGGAGGCUUCCCUUUUCCACUGGUUGAUUUGCUAAAUUAAAGUACAUGUUAAAUACCAGCUUCCUCUUGUUUAUACUAAUUCUUACAUACAUUUUCAACACCGCUCAUCUGAACAGUCCAUCUGAGGUGAGUGCUUUUGGGGCUGUGACAAAACUGGGAACAGGUAACCACUAUGAACACCUGCAGUGUCAAGAUACUCAAGAUACUUCUCUAGGAUAAAGCAUCAGGGGCUGGGCAAGAUGUCCAUAAGUCAUAUAAUGAGAUUUCUUAAUUUUAGAUCUGAGAGGUUUCACUGGUUAUUUCUCCCCUACAUUGACUUACAGUGUUUUAACUGAGGAGCAUUUUCAGGUAAUUGAGACACUUGGGAAAACUGAUAUUAAUACAAUCUACUUUUCCACAUACAGAUUUGGCAGAAAAUGGCUGUCUCUCCAGUGCUGUUCUUUUUUUUCUUCUUCUUUUUAGAAAUGUUUAUGGAUGUUAUUAGUGAGAAUUAAAAAAUCUCUAGUGUAAACAAAUGACCAUUUAUCUAGCAUAAAGCGGCUGUGGCUGUAUUUGUUUCUGCCCUUAGGGAACACUGUAGACUCUUGCUAACAGUAUCACAGCCAUUUUGGCAAGUAAAAAUGAAAGGGAGGCAAAAAUUAUAAAGAAGGCUUCUAUGCAAAGGUGAGCUUGAAACUAUUAAACUGCUAUAACAAGAGCUAUGCUUCAGUGCAUCCCCAGACUGCUGACAGGAAGGAUAUGGAAUUACUGAGGACUUUAUGCUCUCCCUCUGCUGUGAGGCUGGGGACAUUGCAGCAGUUUCCCUUCCAGCCCCGCCCCCCCCAGCAAAGUGCAAUUUGACAAUUUGCCAUCCUAUUUAGGAAAUAUUUAUGAUUGGAUGAAAAACAGAAAACCCAAAUGAUAAAUGCUUAUGAAUUGAGCACAUCCUGGAAAUAAGGCAAGGGUGGUUUCCUGGAGAACAGGAAAGGAUCUGGAAUGAAGUCUAAUAGAACAGUUUCCAGUCUGUCUUCUGCAACAUUUUACUUUGGUAUUUUCCUGUGUACUGGAUCCUCAGACUGUGUAGCUUUUAGCACUGUCCUUCCCCGUCUUAAAUGCCCUGCUCCACCCGUGGAGUUCACAGUAGUAAUUCAGCUGAACAGAGACCUGGGUGUGGAGGUCAUUCUAUACAGGGUUUCACAACAGCUGUAGUAAUCUCAGGCAACAAGAAGUAUUGGGGGAGAGGUGUAUGGAAAAAACUGCAUUUAGCUUCCAUAUCUAUUUAGUGCUGCAGCAGAGUUCAUUGGCUGAAUUUUAUGUGUAGCCAGUGAUUUUGGCUUCCUUUCAUUUGCAUAUGUGUUUGUUCAGUGAGAAGCCUCUACUUCAGGUAUUCUUCAGGGAGGAGCUAUCUGCCCCUGUAGGCAGCUCCUACACCCAGAAGAGUGUUUUCAUCACAAAUCGAUACUUUAAAUGAUGAUCACCAUUCUUCAUCAAACAAGGAGGCCAAGAAAGAAAGAUUAUAGCUCAACAGAGCCUGUUGUUCAGAAAAUGUCCUGGGGCUGUGUAGAGCAAAUGAAGGUAAUGACAAAGCCUUUAUUUAAGAAAUAGGCACACGAGGGAAAGAUAUCAAAAAUAAUCGACUCACCCCUCCCGGUAGCAGUGCGCAGGCAGAGCCGAGCUGAGGAAUGUGUCCCUCCCCCGUUCGUACCGCCGCGCCGCCGCACUCACACACUCACAGAGCCCACCCAUUGGUUCAGGCUGUGACCCUGGAAUUCCACUACA